CAACUUUUUCCCCAAAUGGAAAUGAUGUGGUAAUAUCUUUCAUAUAUUCAAAUAGAGCUCACUGUGUGGAUGUCAUUUUCUUUCAAAAGUAAAUAAUAUUUAUACUUUUGUGAGCAAUAUUGCGUUAUCAUUGAAUAAUUGAAUAUUGUUAUGCUAAGUACUAACCGUAAGCAGAAACGUUAUGCUACAAGGGACGUGGGUUCACAUAAAAAUCCAGUCAGUAUUGUGAUCUUGAUGAUUCGUUACCGUGUAAUCAAUGCCACAUCAGCUUAAGUUGUUAGAAUGUUUGUUAGGCUUGACGUUAUAAGCUAUGAUAAGGAAAUAUACUACCACACAAACUUCUCGAUAAGUUUUUGCACUAUCUUCUCAGACAUCACAAUUCUCAGCUUAGCACAAACCAUACUCUAAAUAACCAUAAAACUCAAGAAUCCAUACCCAUUUCUCCAAACAUAUCCAAAGUUGCGGAAAAAUCAAACCCAAUAAAAGAGACAAAACAGAGUUUCAGUGAAGCAGAGAGACUAGAAUUAGAUGCUGCAAAUGAUAGAACACCACCAGUGUCAUCAUUUUCUCCACUGGUUUCCUCCCAAGCCCAUAAUUAGACAGAUUUGGCUCACAUUUGUCAUCUAACAAUAUGUAAUCUUGGAACUAAGUCCCAUUUCCGAAGAUUGAUACCUUUGAUAUAGCCUAUGCCAGGAAUAAUAAGAAUUGGACCAAUGACACUGCUGAGGCCAAAUUUGAUGAAGGGAUCUUCAUUGACAACCCCAGCAGUUGGAUCAGGAGCAGCUGGCAUCAGAGAGAGCAGCUCGAGAGGCAGCAGAUCAGAGAGUGAAUGCAGCUGAUGCAGCUCGCGUGGAAGUCCAGUAAAGUCUUGGACUUUUCAUACAGUCGUAGAGGCAAACUAUGCAGCAGCUAGCGAAGGAAGCCCUUGGGUUUGUACCUCCCCCAAUGAUUUUACCACCACACACAAAUUCCGAUCAACAUGUGGGUGAGGAAGAGGAUGAAAUAAAUGCUUACCAGACUCCUUUUUCAUUUGGAACUUAUUACUCAUCUACGAAUGGUUUAGAUACCAAACUACUCAUUUUCCAAUAUGCUUACUCGACGGUUUGUGGAUGCAUUAUAUCUAAUGUUAUAUAGCAUUUGGUAUGUAUAUUGAUGGGUUUAAUAUGUAACUCUUCAUUA